rnacentral:rRNA from 1 species
GAUGAACGCUGGCGGCGUGCCUAAUACAUGCAAGUCGAGCGAACGGACGAGAAGCUUGCUUCUCUGAUGUUAGCGGCGGACGGGUGAGUAACACGUGGAUAACCUACCUAUAAGACUGGGAUAACUUCGGGAAACCGGAGCUAAUACCGGAUAAUAUUUUGAACCGCAUGGUUCAAAAGUGAAAGACGGUCUUGCUGUCACUUAUAGAUGGAUCCGCGCUGCAUUAGCUAGUUGGUAAGGUAACGGCUUACCAAGGCAACGAUGCAUAGCCGACCUGAGAGGGUGAUCGGCCACACUGGAACUGAGACACGGUCCAGACUCCUACGGGAGGCAGCAGUAGGGAAUAUUCCGCAAUGGGCGAAAGCCUGACGGAGCAACGCCGCGUGAGUGAUGAAGGUCUUCGGAUCGUAAAACUCUGUUAUUAGGGAAGAACAUAUGUGUAAGUAACUGUGCACAUCUUGACGGUACCUAAUCAGAAAGCCACGGCUAACUACGU